GAAAUGCGAUAAUUAAUGUGAAUUGCAGAAUUCAGUGAAUCAUCGAGUCUUUGAACGCACUUGCGCCCCCUGGUAUUCCGGGGGGCAUGCCUGUCCGAGCGUCAUUGCUGCCCUCAAGCACGGCUUGUGUGUUGGGCUUCCGUCCCUGGCAACGGGGACGGGCCCAAAAGGCAGUGGCGGCACCAUGUCUGGUCCUCGAGCGUAUGGGGCUUUGUCACCCGCUCCCGUAGGUCCAGCUGGCAGCUAGCCUCGCAACCAAUCUUUUUAACCAGGUUGACCUCGGAUCAGGUAGGGAUACCCGCUGAACUUAAGC
rnacentral:misc_RNA from 1 species